GACAUUCCUCCCACACUACCCUUCCUGGCCCAACAGAGCAUCCAGAAGGCAGUAGGACUUGGUUUUUCAGGUAUGUUCUGGUUGUCACAGAGUUUCAUUGAGCCCAACUGCAGCCACGUGGCCAUCUGGAGCUGGUGCUGUAGGUGACCAUCUGGUACAUUAAGGGGACCGGUUUUCCUCCUUCACUCUAUAAGCUGUCAUCUUGGGAGACAGGGAAGAGAAGGUGGUGGGCCAGUCCUGUGUCCUCCUCCACUUCCCAUGCCCCUACAUUACCCAUCUGUGUCUCCUCUGCAAAAGGAGAGGAAGAGGCAUUAAGGGAUGAAGGGUGAUUAUGUAUUACUUAUCCAUUUCUGAAUAAACAUUUGUUAUUCC